rnacentral:rRNA from 1 species
AUUGAACGCUGGCGGCAGGCCUAACACAUGCAAGUCGGGCGCGCGGCGGACGGGUGAGUAAUGUAUGUGGAUCUUCCUGAUGGAGGGGGAUCACUACUGGAAACUGUAGCUAAUACCGCAUUCCAUCAGCUGAACCCAUAUGGGAUUAGCUGGUAGGUAAGGUAACGGCUUACCUAGGCGACGAUCCCUAGCUGGUCUGAGAGGAUGAUCAGGCACACUGGGACUGAGACACGGCCCAGACUACUACGGGAGGCAGCAGUGGGGAAUAUUGCACAAGGGGAGAAAGCCUGAUGCAGCCAGGCCGCGUGUAUGAAGAAGGCCUUCGGGUUGUAAAGUACUUUCAGUCGGGAGGCGUUACCGACAGAAGAAGCACCGGCUAACUCCGUGCCAGCAGCCGCGGUAAUAC